AAGUAGAGUGAUCGAAAGAUGAAAAGCACUUUGGAAAGAGAGUUAAACAGUACGUGAAAUUGUUGAAAGGGAAGCGCUUGCAAUCAGACUUGCUCGCGGGUGAUCAACCCCCCUUCGCGGGAGGUGCACUCGCCCGCGAUCAGGCCAGCAUCGGUUUCGACGGGCGGAUAAAGGCUCCAGGAAUGUAGCUCCCUUUCGGGGGAGUGUUAUAGCCUGGGGUGCCAUGCGCCCAGUUGGGACCGAGGACCGCGCUUCGGCUAGGAUGCUGGCGUAAUGGUUGUCAGCGACCCGUCUUGAAACACGGACCAAGGAGUCUAACAUCUAUGCGAGUGUUUGGGUGGUCAAACCCCGGCGCGGAAUGAAAGUGAACGGAGGUGGGAGCCCACUUUCGGGGGGGCGCACCAUCGACCGAUCCAGAUGUCUUCGGAUGGAUUUGAGUAGGAGCAUAGCUGUUGGGACCCGAAAGAUGGUGAACUAUGCCUGGAUAGGGUGAAGCCAGAGGAAACUCUGGUGGAGGCUCGCAGCGGUUCUGACGUGCAAAUCGAUCGUCAAAUCUGGGUAUAGGGGCGAAAGACUAAUCGAACCAUCUAGUAAAAACCACUACUAGAAAUACUGACAGGACAAAAAUGAGGCAGUGAUUUUGCCUCGGUAGUCCCCCCUGGGUUUAGGGGGGGCCACACCGCCGGUCUCCGGGGAUACCUUUUG
rnacentral:rRNA from 1 species